rnacentral:lncRNA from 1 species
AAUGCAUGAUCAGUAGGUAAGAACCUACGAUGACAAUCAAACCAAGAAGUUUUCCCCCCAUUUGCCAACUAAAAGGCCUUUGUGUCCUCCAUGCAAUACGGACAUGCUAGUCUACCAAGUGUCCCUCAACCAGACAACAUCCCAUAAGCAGGAAAAUCAUUAAUAGUCCACAUCAAAGCUUCCCUCAUCAUGAAAUUUUGCUUUCUUGAAACAUCGUAAGUCAUAA